GUUGGGUAGGGGAGCGUUCUGUAAGCCUGUGAAGGUGUGUCGUGAGGCAUGCUGGAGGUAUCAGAAGUGCGAAUGCUGACAUAAGUAACGAUAAAGCGGGUGAAAAGCCCGCUCGCCGGAAGACCAAGGGUUCCUGUCCAACGUUAAUCGGGGCAGGGUGAGUCGACCCCUAAGGCGAGGCCGAAAGGCGUAGUCGAUGGGAAACGGGUUAAUAUUCCCGUACUUGGUGUUACUGCGAAGGGGGGACGGAGAAGGCUAUGUUGGCCGGGCGACGGUUGUCCCGGUUUAAGCGUGUAGGUGUGUGUUCCAGGUAAAUCCGGUUCACUUUAACACUGAGGCGUGAUGACGAGGCACUACGGUGCUGAAGCAACAAAUGCCCUGCUUCCAGGAAAAGCCUCUAAGCAUCAGGUAACAUCAAAUCGUACCCCAAACCGACACAGGUGGUCAGGUAGAGAAUACCAAGGCGCUUGAGAGAACUCGGGUGAAGGAACUAGGCAAAAUGGUGCCGUAACUUCGGGAGAAGGCACGCUGACACGUAGGUGAAGUGAUUUACUCAUGGAGCUGAAGUCAGUCGAAGAUACCAGCUGGCUGCAACUGUUUAUUAAAAACACAGCACUGUGCAAACACGAAAGUGGACGUAUACGGUGUGACGCCUGCCCGGUGCCGGAAGGUUAAUUGAUGGGGUCAGCGCAAGCGAAGCUCCUGAUCGAAGCCCCGGUAAACGGCGGCCGUAACUAUAACGGUCCUAAGGUAGCGAAAUUCCUUGUCGGGUAAGUUCCGACCUGCACGAAUGGCGUAAUGAUGGCCAGGCUGUCUCCACCCGAGACUCAGUGAAAUUGAACUCGCUGUGAAGAUGCAGUGUACCCGCGGCAAGACGGAAAGACCCCGUGAACCUUUACUAUAGCUUGACACUGAACAUUGAGCCUUGAUGUGUAGGAUAGGUGGGAGGCUUUGAAGCGUGGACGCCAGUCUGCGUGGAGCCGACCUUGAAAUACCACCCUUUAAUGUUUGAUGUUCUAACGUGGACCCGUAAUCCGGGUUGCGGACAGUGUCUGGUGGGUAGUUUGACUGGGGCGGUCUCCUCCUAAAGAGUAACGGAGGAGCACGAAGGUUGGCUAAUCCUGGUCGGACAUCAGGAGGUUAGUGCAAUGGCAUAAGCCAGCUUGACUGCGAGCGUGACGGCGCGAGCAGGUGCGAAAGCAGGUCAUAGUGAUCCGGUGGUUCUGAAUGGAAGGGCCAUCGCUCAACGGAUAAAAGGUACUCCGGGGAUAACAGGCUGAUACCGCCCAAGAGUUCAUAUCGACGGCGGUGUUUGGCACCUCGAUGUCGGCUCAUCACAUCCUGGGGCUGAAGUAGGUCCCAAGGGUAUGGCUGUUCGCCAUUUAAAGUGGUACGCGAGCUGGGUUUAGAACGUCGUGAGACAGUUCGGUCCCUAUCUGCCGUGGGCGCUGGAGAACUGAGGGGGGCUGCUCCUAGUACGAGAGGACCGGAGUGGACGCAUCACUGGUGUUCGGGUUGUCAUGCCAAUGGCACUGCCCGGUAGCUAAAUGCGGAAGAGAUAAGUGCUGAAAGCAUCUAAGCACGAAACUUGCCCCGAGAUGAGUUCUCCCUGAGACUUAGAGUCUCCUGAAGGAACGUUGAAGACGACGACGUUGAUAGGCCGGGUGUGUAAGCGCAGCGAUGCGUUGAGCUAACCGGUACUAAUGAACCGUGAGGCUUAACCUU
rnacentral:rRNA from 2 species